AGUGAACGCUGGCGGCGUGCCUAAUACAUGCAAGUCGAACGGAGUGGCGCACGGGUGAGUAAUGUAUAGCUAAUCUGCCCUACACUAGAGGGCAACAGUUGGAAACGGCUGCUAAUACUCUAUAGUGUAGGAUGAGGCUAUAUUGUAUCAGCUAGUUGGUGAGGUAAUGACUCACCAAGGCUAUGACGAAUCACUGGUCUGAUAGGAUGAUCAGUCACACUGGAACGGAGACUCGGUCCAGGCUCCUUCGGGAGGGAGCAGUAGGGAAUAUUGCUCAAUGGGGGAAACCCUGAAGCAGCAACGCGGCGUGGAGGAUGACACUUUUCGGGGCGUAAACUCCUUUUGUUAGGGAAGCGUUACCUAACGAAUAAGCACCGGCUAACUCCGUGCCAGCAGCCGCGGUAAUUC
rnacentral:rRNA from 1 species